GAUUAAAGUAACAAAGGGCACACAAGGGAUGCCUAGGUAGAAAGAGCCGAAGAAGGACGUGGUAAGCUGCGAUAAGCUUGGCGAAGUUGCAAACGAACGUGGAUGCCCGGGCAGUCAGAAUUCGU
rnacentral:rRNA from 1 species